CAAGUCGAGCGGUAGCACAAGAGAGCUUGCUCUCUGGGUGACGAGCGGCGGACGGGUGAGUAAUGUCUGGGAAACUGCCUGAUGGAGGGGGAUAACUACUGGAAACGGUAGCUAAUACCGCAUAACGUCUACGGACCAAAGUGGGGGACCUUCGGGCCUCACGCCAUCAGAUGUGCCCAGAUGGGAUUAGCUAGUAGGUGGGGUAAUGGCUCACCUAGGCGACGAUCCCUAGCUGGUCUGAGAGGAUGACCAGCCACACUGGAACUGAGACACGGUCCAGACUCCUACGGGAGGCAGCAGUGGGGAAUAUUGCACAAUGGGCGCAAGCCUGAUGCAGCCAUGCCGCGUGUGUGAAGAAGGCCUUAGGGUUGUAAAGCACUUUCAGCGAGGAGGAAGGGUAGUGUGUUAAUAGCACAUUGCAUUGACGUUACUCGCAGAAGAAGCACCGGCUAACUCCGUGCCAGCAGCCGCGGU
rnacentral:rRNA from 1 species